CUGUGUUUUGUCUCCUGUGAGCCUGUCUCAUUUCCUCCUCUUCCAUGGCGUCCUAUCUGCGUGCCGCUCUGUAUUGGUAGUGCGCACGUGACUGUGCGCGCCUUGGCACACUUGCGACCAGGUGAAUGAAAUUGGGGUAAUCAGAAGCUCGUGCCCAGUUAAGUGAGCGGGAGCAUAUAUACACACACAAUGCAGUCAUUUGGCUGAAAUGAAAUGGACUGAGAGGACGGCAGAAGCAUUAUGCAUCCACUGUGAGGAAUGAGACUUUUGAUUGUGACAGGCUAUCGGUUUUUCACCUGUUACUCCUGUUACUCCUGUUACUUGAACUGGUCAAAAUAAAUUUAUCUGAGUGAAAUCCGAAGUCUUGUCCUUGUUAAGUGUGGACACCUCACAGCUAGAAGAAAACACUUGACAGUGAAAAACCGGCCUGGCCAGAAGGAAACCGGCCGUGACCAGUGAAGACUCCACAAAAGCCCACCGCAAAGAGGGAAAGAGACUCCACCUGGGGGCCUGGAGGAAAUCAACUAUCUGCCGUCCACCUGUCA